rnacentral:rRNA from 1 species
CCGAGGACAACAUAGUGGAUUCAUCCACCGGAGACAAUGUGCAAGAUCAACGUAGAUGGUGCAGUGUCUAAGAACCAGAAGAGGGGAGCUGCAGCGGCAAUAUGCAGAGACCACGCUAGAAAUUUUCUGGGGGCUUCGGCGAUACUUGUGACGGGUGUUUACGACCCACCGACACUAGAAGCUCUUGCUAUCCGGGAGGCUCUAGCCCUGGCCGAAGAUCUGAAUUUGCAGAGUCUACACGUUGCAUCAGAUUGCAAAGUAGUGAUCGAGGACAUGAAGGAGCAACACCCGGCUGGUUAUGGUGCAAUUCUACAUGAAAUAUCAGACCUUGCGAAUGGUUUCGUAAAGUGCAAUUUUGUUCAUGAGUAUAGGAGCUCGAACUUCGAGUCUCACAAUCUAGCGAAGCAUGCUUUAAAGCUAGAGGUGGGCCGCCAUGUUUGGUUAGGACACCCCGGUAAUCUCAUUUUUGUCCCUGUAAACAUUAUUUCAGGAUAA